rnacentral:lncRNA from 1 species
UUUUAUAAAAAUAUUAGCCCCACACACACUCUCUUUCUCUGUGCAAUUCCUUGUGCACGGUAUAACCAUCUCCCCCAGCUGUCUCCCCCCCCCUCUCUCCCCUCAUCAGAACCUAGAAAAAAUAAGCAAACCUAAUACCACUGCCGAACACACACCCAGCGCACCCUGGGACCUCCCUCUGCAUCUCUCUCUCUCUACCCAUUUCGCUCCGCACCCCUGGGACCUCCCUCUGCAUCUCUCUCUCUCUCUCUCUCUCUCUCUCUCUCUCUACCCAUUUCGCUCCGCACCCCUGGAACCUCCCUUUGCAACUCUUCCGGUCUUCCCCCACAGAAAAAUGAAAAUCCGCACCCCCGGGAUUUUCUUGGUUUGCCAUUGCUUUCUGGGUUUGUUUAUAAGUUGUUCUGUUAUGCUGUAGCUCGGAAUCGGAGGUUGUCACCGGAAAAAAAAACCCAACGAAAUUGUUCUCCAGCUCGGCCCCAAUCGGAGGAAUCGGAGGUUGUCACCGUGAAAGGCACGCGCCAGGCAAAUAGCCCGGCUCCUUGGUCAGUCAAUUUUGGACUAGCCUAGAGACCAGCUUGGGCUGGGUGCCAGGCAAGUUGCUGGGCUGGAGUGAAUUAACAGGGUGCCAGCCUGGUUUUUUUACUGGGUGCUGGGCUAUUCCACCUCUGGUGGAACUGCUCUUAGAAACAGUAUAAGAUAUACGUGUCAGUUAUGUCGUUCAUUUUUAUAUUAAAUCAUUAAAUCAAAUAUUACGACACGUAUAUUUUGAUAUCUACGAAAGUGUCUCAAAUUUUAGACAAAUUGCUGUGCAAUUUUUGCAUAUCAGAUUCGAUUUUGAAAUGCGUUGUCUGUUUCUAUGUGUUAUUUUCAUCUGGGUUUUAUUAUUUAAUGGUUCUGAGUGGAAAAAUAUAUGAGAAAACAAAAAAUUAAAAAGGGGAAUCGGAGAGAAGCCAAAUGGGUUUUGAAAAAAGGACAAUAAGCCAAACAAUUGCAUGUGCAGCUGCUGCAAUUUGGCGCCGUUAAAGGGCUCAAUGAGUCUCUUUCACCGGACAAUCGGCACUUAUCUUGAAAAAUCCACGUAGUUAAAGUGAGUUCGUUAGCCUGUGACUAGAAUGUUACCUUUACCGCAAUCAAACACGAUUAUGUAGAUUCUAAAUUGUUCUUGUAUGCGUAUAAUUCAGUUGAUUAAAAACAUUUGCUUUUUAUCUGGGGUCUUGUAUUUAAGUUUUCAACCUUAAAUUUUAAUAUAGAUUGUCCUAUAUUCUAACCUGUGAAAAAAAUCAAAUAUUAUAUUCUAAUAUGCGUAAUAAAAAUGAUUAAAUUAAAAGUUAGUCGCAAGGUUCCAUCAUAAAUUAAUUCGCAAUGUGAGAAGUAGUUCAAUCUCUUAUAAAGCCUUGAAUGAUUUGGUCCCUCAUCGAUGUGGCACUUUAUCCUCACAUUCUCACACACCUCUCUCACGUGUGGCAAAUUUUCAAACAUAACACGUGAACAAUACAAAUUGCGUAUCGUGGAAUCUGUGUGACCGUUGAGCUUCUCACGUGAGCCAACCUGUUCUGAUACCAUAAAGAAGUUGAGAUUUCAUUAUAAAACCAAUGAUAAUAUGAAAAGUAGCUCAACAUCUUAUAAGCACUUGUAUUUUUUUGGUUCCUCACCGACGUGGGAAUACUAUCAUCGACACACCUAAUACAUAUAUGUCAAACAACUGAAAUUUGCAUGUUCUCAUCCGUGCGAAUCGAACUGGAAACAUCCAUCCUCCAUUAAAACUCAUCUCAAUUACGAUUAAACUUGCCUCAAAUUGCCAAUUUUCUUUUGUUUUUGUGAACGGUACACAUGACAAUGAAGCCGUACCACAGGAGAGAUAGCGUGUAAAAAAUAAAACUUUUGAAGUCAAUGAACAUAGUUACUGCUGCUACCAUGAAUUACGUACAAGACCUCAAUUUUCUACUCCGUAAUUUGGACACUAGUUAAGAUGAUUAAAACACUAAUGCCGAUAAUCACGGUCUUAUUAAUAUUUCGCCAACCAAGCUGUACUCGAGACGUUAUCGUUUUCCAUGCAAAUCUUAUCUUAUUAAUAAUAAUCAAGAUUUAAGAUCUUGUGUUUAGAUUACGUGAUUAGCAACCACCAUUAAUUAAAUAUCAGAGGAAAAUGUUGCAGCAAGAUAACAGACCCAUGGUUAGAAGCCGCUCACAGGUUUGUCACUUGUGUUAAUUUCAUAGGUCAAACAACAACCGCCAUGUGUGUUUUUAUUUUUGGAUCUGGAAUGACUGCUCUUCACAUCUCAUACCCUUCCUAUCCCCUCAUAUUUUUGUGGUCACGGUUAAGUCGUGUCAACAUUUUAUAUUGAUUUUUUUUAUAUAAAUAAUAAAACAAAAAGCAAUGAGAAUAUAAAAUAUUGAUGUGGUUUAACCGUGACCACAGAAAUAGAAGGGGAUGAGAAGGGUAUGAGAUGAGAGAGGGCAGACAAUCCAGGUCCUUUAUUUUUAAAUUAAGGCAUUGGCAUUAUCAAUUAUAGUAUUCACUUUUACUUGUAUAAGGUCUCAGAUUUAAUUCAUAUUAGAUGAUGAUUAUCAAUAUCUAGUUAUGGUUAGAUCAUAUUGUUGCUUACCCACGCGCCCCAUUUCAAGUUAAAUAUUGUUGUAUUGAAAAAGCAAUCUAAAAGAAUGCUUGUGUCCACCGUAAUGGUACAUCCUGGACGGAGCCAUGAGAUUAAAAUAAAAUUUUGAUACAAUAUAUUAAAUUAUUGUCCAUCAACAUGAUUUUGGGUAACUGGUGUUUAGAACGGUUAAGUUGUAAACCAUUAGCUAAUGAAAAAAUUUACAUGACUUGGAAGGGUUUAAGGAUAAGAAAAGAAUAGGACGUGAGAGUGCAUGUUGUGUUGUGUUUGGAAUGAGACUUCAUUUCUAAGUAUAUACAACUAAUUUGUAGUUUUAAUUGGUACAUUUUUCAAGACAAACAAAGUUGAGUGGGAACAACUGCCCCCAGUAGGCAUAUGCGGCCUCCGUCCAUGGUUUCACCAAUGGCUGCACAUUUUUGUUCACUUAGUUGCGAUUAACAUUUUUAUUUUGUAAUUCUUUUGUCUAAUGAUAUUCGUAUGAUUUGUUAAUCACAUUUGUGAGGCAAAAGAAAGUACAGUCUUGAAGUGGAAGCAAGUAAAGAAAAUAAAUAAAUAAAAAGUUGGGAAUUAAUUUAAUUGGAUGGAGGUCUUGUUCAGCUAGAAGACACGUAAGCCGCUAAAAAUGUCAUCACCCAUGUGCUUCUGCAUGUGUGCGUGGACCUUUUGCUUUCUUUUUUUCAGAUUUUCUUCCUGUUAUGAUUUGAUAGAAUCAUCCUCUAGUAACUCAACCUAUUCACAUGAAAACGAAAGGAAGAUUACAGUAAUUUAAUAUAUAACAAGUCAUCAGUUACGUAACGUCACACUUAUUACGUCAAAACAUCACAAUAAUAAUGAAUUUGUUUCAUGUAAAUUGCUCGUGAUUUUUGUUUUUUUGUUGUAGAGAAGAGAUGCCAUUAAACGAGGAAGGAUGAAAUUCUCAUGGAUUCAUGGGUCAAAAAUGCUCAUUCAAUUCGUUUACCAGAAAAGAUUUGGGAAUUGAAUUCCUCCUUUCCUGCUCCAAGUCCUAAUAAACGGCUGUGUAAUUAAAGCUUCUCUAACCGUGUGAGACGUAUGUCUCAAUGUGUGCCAUUGCAGAGAAACAAGAGGGACACAGACACAACACAUCUCUCUCGCUCUCUCUCUCUCUCUCUCUCUCUCUCUCUCUCUCUCUCGUGGUUGGGGCAGCAAAGUUGUGCUUGUGGUGUAGAAAUAAAAUCAGCCCUGCAAAUUUUUAUUCAUGCACAUUCAGUUAUGCAAUAAUCUAAAUAAAGUUGGAAGCUUUCUGUUAGGUAAGAGAGAUUCUGUCCGCAGCAAGAAAACCCAGUUCACCAAAACUGUUUAAGCUGUUUUAAAAUGGUUGUUGUGGUAAGUAAGGGCUUUUCGGAGUGAAUUAAUAUAUCUUAAUAAAUCUAUAUUAUUUCAUUUUUAAUCGGCUAAUAACAGUCAGUUCACUCUCUUACGCUUGAAUUUGAAUCUCCUUUUCUCUUCCAUAACAGAUUAAGCUAUAUGUGAAUUAUAUUUGUUGACCUAGGGCGGUUUGCUAGCACAUUUCUACCUAAGUUCGAAUCUCAAUUUUCAGAAACUAAAUUGGUUUAAAAAUCGUUUAGAUAAAAGAAUAAUAAUUGAUAAUAUAAAUAACUGAAAAUAUGAGUAUACCCCUUGGAAUUCAAUUUUCAUUAACUAAAACCCCCAAUUGUAAAAUUUUCUGAUAAAAACCCAAUGACUAGGCUCCAACUAAGCAAUAUCCAUAAUUAAGUAUCACUUGGCAAAAUUGGUAUUUUUGAAUGUCUAAAUUACCCCUAAUAUUAUUGACUUUGGGUUUAUUACUUGUUAUCUACAUUUAUUUUAUAUUAUUUCAUUCAAUUAAACGUUUUGAAAUGUUUAU